AGUGAACGCUGGCGGUAGGCCUAACACAUGCAAGUCGAACGGCAGCACAGGAGAGCUUGCUCUCUGGGUGGCGAGUGGCGGACGGGUGAGGAAUACAUCGGAAUCUACUUUUUCGUGGGGGAUAACGUAGGGAAACUUACGCUAAUACCGCAUACGACCUACGGGUGAAAGCAGGGGAUCUUCGGACCUUGCGCGACUGAAUGAGCCGAUGUCGGAUUAGCUAGUUGGCGGGGUAAAGGCCCACCAAGGCGACGAUCCGUAGCUGGUCUGAGAGGAUGAUCAGCCACACUGGAACUGAGACACGGUCCAGACUCCUACGGGAGGCAGCAGUGGGGAAUAUUGGACAAUGGGCGCAAGCCUGAUCCAGCCAUACCGCGUGGGUGAAGAAGGCCUUCGGGUUGUAAAGCCCUUUUGUUGGGAAAGAAAUCCAGCUGGUUAAUACCCGGUUGGGAUGACGGUACCCAAAGAAUAAGCACCGGCUAACUUCGCGCCAGCCGCCGCAGUAA
rnacentral:rRNA from 1 species